AAUGGGUUGUAUCCAGAUUAAGUUAGUUGCACUUCAACCCCAUUACUUUUAACAUAGGUUAUGUGAAAAGUAAUGGGAUCUAAGUGCAACUAACUUAGUCUGGAUCCUACCCAAU